UGAGGAAUAUUGCUCAAUGGGCGAAAGCCUGAAGCAGCAACGCCGCGUGCGCGAUGAAGGUCUUCGGAUCGUAAAGCGCUUUUGAGAGGGACGAGAUAGGACGGUACCUCUUGAAUAAGUCACGGCUAACUACGUGCCAGCAGCCGCGGUAAUACGUAGGGGGCAAGCGUUGUCCGGAUUUACUGGGUGUAAAGGGUGCUCAGGCGGAUUUGUAAGUCAGAGGUGAAAUCUUACAGCUUAACUGUGAAACUGCCUUUGAUACUGCAAGCCUAGAGUAUGGAAGGGAGUGAUGGAAUAUCUGGUGGAGCAGUGAAAUGCGUAGAUAUCAGAUAGAACACCAAUGGCGAAGGCAGUCACUUGGUCCAUUACUGACGCUAAAGCACGAAAGCGUGGGUAGCAAACA
rnacentral:rRNA from 1 species